rnacentral:rRNA from 1 species
UACGUAGGGGGGCUAGCGUUGUCCGGAAUCAUUGGGCGUAAAGCGCGCGUAGGUGGCCCCGUAAGUCCGCUGUGAAAGUCAAAGGCUCAACCUUUGAAAGCCGGUGGAUACUGUGGGACUAGAGUACGGAAGAGGCGAGUGGAAUUCCUGGUGUAGCGGUGGAAUGCGCAGAUAUCAGGAGGAACACCAAUAGCGAAGGCAGCUCGCUGGGACGUUACUGACACUGAGGCGCGAAAGCGUGGGGAGCGAACAGG